rnacentral:rRNA from 1 species
GUGUCAGCAGCCGCGGUAAUACGAGGGGAGCUAGCGUUAUUCGGAAUUACUGGGCGUAAAGCGCACGUAGGCGGCUUUGUAAGUAAGGGGUGAAAGCCCAGAGCUCAACUCUGGAAUUGCCUUUUAGACUGCAUCGCUUGAAUCCAGGAGAGGUGAGUGGAAUUCCGAGUGUAGAGGUGAAAUUCGUAGAUAUUCGGAAGAACACCAGUGGCGAAGGCGGCUCACUGGACUGGUAUUGACGCUGAGGUGCGAAAGCGUGGGGAGCAAACAGGAUUAGAUACCCUCGUAGUCC